GUGCGCACUUUGGCAGCAUAUAUACUAAAAUUGGAAUGAUACAGAGAAGAUUAGCAUAGCCCCUGCAUAAGGAUGACCCGCAAAUUCAUGAAGUGUUCCAUAUUUUU
rnacentral:snRNA from 1 species